AGAUGGAGUGAUGCCUCUCAA
rnacentral:siRNA from 1 species